rnacentral:misc_RNA from 1 species
AUUUGUCCUUACCAGCUCCCAGCCCCCUACCAUCGUGGGGGUGCGAGCGUGAAGAGCUGCAGAUGAGUUCCUUGAGUUUAGCUUCAAUCUUCGCUGGUGGCCGCCGGAGUUUGGGUCCGCCAGUUACCGUCCUGCGCACUUUAGCAUCCACCCAUGUUUGUUUUGUCAAUAAGCACCAGAACAACAAUUCUUUAGCUUGGUUUUCUUUGAGUUCACAUAAGAGAACGUUCGGCUGUGGAUCCUCGAGAGCAGAAGUUACUUGCACAACUACCAGUUCUUCUGUUAAUGGAUACCUAGAUUAUGAUCGAUUGCUUCCAUGUCCCUCACAAAAUAGACCACCAAGAGUCGAACACUUGGUUGUUUUACAGGAGGGGCCUGUACUAGACUAUAUCUGCAAAGCUCUGGAUCUUCCUCAUCUGUUUGUUGCAGACCUCAUUCAUUUUGGCGCUGUACAUUAUGCCCUUGUGUGCCCACAGCCACCUCCAACAGCAACUCCAGAGCAGGUUAGGUUAUUUGAAGAAUUUACAGCACCGUCAGUUCUGAAGAAGAGAUCUUCCAUCAAAGGAAAAACUGUACGAGAAGCACAAAAAACUUUUCGGAUAACUCAUGUUGAACAGUUUCUUGAAGCUGGAACUUAUUUGCGUGUUCAUGUACAUCCAAAGCGCUUCCCAAGGUAAAAUAUAGCUAGGUGGAUGUUUACUAUCAUUUUUGGUUGGCAUGGCAGUUGUUGAGAGUUGAAUUUUGUUCAGGUGCUAUGACAUUGAUUGGAAAUCAAGAAUUAUAGCUGUGACGGAAUCUUAUGUUGUUUUGGAUAAACCUGCUGGUACAUCAGUAUGUAAUUGAUCCAUUAUUUUCUUAAUUUUGUUUAUUUGGAUUGCUGUCAGCAUCAAAUUUAAUUUAUUUAAGCUAAUAAUGAAACCCAUUAAAGUAAACACAGGCCUUAGUUUUAUCAACCAGCUUCUUGGUGCAAAGUAGAAAAUAUGUUUGCAGACAAAUUUUACCUGAUUUUCAACUGUAAUAGAAGUUAGGACUGCUCAUUGUCCAAUUUAAUUGAUCUUAGCUGCUAACUAGACCCAGUAACGUAAACUCAAGGCCUUAGCUUUAUCAAGCAGCUGCCAGUGGCAAAUAGAAAAUAACUAAAUACCCUAGGCCUGUGCAUUAAACAGAUAUAUUUAUCCCAAAAUAAACCAGGAGCUUCUAUCUUUAUCCUAAAGAAACUAAGAAUGCUGUAUGUUAGACAAUAUCAGUUAGAAAACUUUGGAGCUGUUGUAGGUGCACUUUUUUUGAAUUUGGACACUCUUGACAAUUUUGCCCCUUCUAAAUAUGCCUUUUGACAACCCUUGUUAUUAUUGCACACAAGAUAUGUAAGUUUCAACUUCACUCAGGUGGGUGGAACUACAGAUAAUAUAGAAGAAAGUUGUGCAACCUUUGCCACUCGUGCUUUGGGAUUAACAACUCCUUUGAAGACUACCCAUCAGAUUGAUAAUUGCACAGAGGGCUGUGUUGUGUUAGCUAGGACAAGGGAGUACUGCUCAGUUUUCCAUGGAAAAAUCAGAGAUAAAAAGGUGAAGAAGCUUUAUCUUGCUCUUGCUGCUUCUCCUGUGCCAACUGGAGUAAUUACCCACUACAUGCGUCCUGUUAAUAUUGCUCCCAGAAUUGUAUCAGAAGGUAAUGAUCUCCAUCAAGCAUUGCAUUGAUAAUAGAAAAUCAGUCUGGACAUUUGAAUAGUUGUAGUAGGUAUUGAAGUGGGGAGCUGCAUAAUCUUAGUAGUUUUGAUCCUGAAUGAUUUGGUAUGACAUUCACUCAGUUUAUGUUACCAAGUACAUUAACUAUCAUCACAACUGUACCUUAUCCAAAAAACCUCUUCUUUUUUCCCCCUCUAUCCCUUCUUAUUUGUAAUAUAAUGUUACAUGGUGGGGUCUGUGUGAUUGAAACUAGAGGAAAGUUUCAUCAUAGGCUUUCUUGAGGCUUCUCAAUUUCCUAAGUAGUAAACAGCUUCAGCCAGUUCUCCUUUUGUAAUGUUACUGGUGCACUGUCAUUCAAUAUGUUGCAACUACAUUUGUUUAGGCAAAAAAUCUUUCUAGCUAUUCUCUUGUGUCAAAUUUACUCAACUGUUUUUGUAUGCAGAAUUUAUAGAAGGAUGGCACUUGUGUCAACUUGAGGUCUUGGAAUGCAAAAAGGUUCCUUGGCCAGAUGCUGUAACUGAAGAGAAAUAUUCUGUUGAAGACUGUGGGUGGCCCUCAAAAGAUUAUGCAUACGAGUGCAAGAUCAAUCUUUUGACUGGUCGAACACAUCAGGUUAUUUAGCCUUUCUUCUCUUUCUCUUGCCAUAACUUUGUGCUGUUUUUCUGCUUUGUCAUGUUCAUUUUUGAAUGCUGUGUGUGCAAACAUGUAUUUUCUUUAUUCAGUUCUAAUUAUUUCAUGCCAUGUCAAUCUGUUAAAGAACCUAAAGAGUGAAGCCCUCAAAUUGUGCUUCUUUUAGUUGUCAUUGGUAGUGAAAAACAGACAAUUUCAGAGGAUAUGCAAAAUUUCUGAACUGUAGGUUUCAAAACUAUAUAGGAUAUGCAAUUUGAGUAAGGAGGGUUUCAGUUUCAUUAAUACUUUUUUAUUGACCAUUUCAAUAAAUAACUAAAAUAUUUUGUUGGGUUGGAAAAGCCUGAAAGUGUUGGUGGGUGGGUUGCAUUUUAUCUGGUCUUGCUAUAAAGGUAUUCUGUUAUUACUAAUAUGCAAUUGGCAUUGGUUGCUGCCUUGUUGGCUGUCAUACAUUCUGUCUGAAGUGAGAAAUGAGAUGGUGGGACAUAAAGGAUGAUCUCCAACUUACCUUUUGGUACCAUAAGGGCGAUGUCACAAUUAACUAGUUGUAGUAUAUGGUGCAGAUUCGAGCUCAACUGGCUGCCUACGGUGCACCAUUAGUGGGUGACUCGAUGUACAUGCCAGCUGCAAUUGCAGAAAUUGCAAAUCCUGGAGUUAAUCCAUUUGGAAAAUACAAAAAACAAUACGUGAGUCAGGAUGAUCAAUCAUUGGCCACUGCUGAGUGGGUUGUACAGCAUGGAAAGGAACCAAACGUUGCUAUUGGUCUUCAGGCCUGUCAAAUUUCAUGGGAUGAUGGCAAGCACAUUUACAAGGCUGGAUCUCCGUGGUGGAGAUGUAAGCCUGCUUAGAAUUGGUAAUGGAGGAUUGAGAUGAAUUACCAAGUGGGGUAUUUUCUUACAGCUGAUGCUUUGGGGCCUAUCAAUCAUAUGACUGCUGAUUAACCCAUCUUGUCAUCUCCAAGGUGAUUCUUUUUCCUUGCCCUGUCAAUAAAUGGAGGGAUAUGAUGUGCAGGCAUGGAUUCAACUUGAAAAACGAGGAAUAGAGAUGCUCAUUAUAUAUGUUUGUAAAAGCAAGCCUAGGCAAAUGCAAUUUUGAGGCUUAGUAAGAUCAACAGCCAACUUUGUCAUGACUCGUUUUGGCUCUUCUCAUAAAUUUCUGUUCCAUUAUUUGUAUUUUCAUAAUUUAUAAAAUACAUUCCCUUUUUUUGUUUGUAGUACAUGAUCAAAGUUUUGUAAUACAUAGUGAUAGAUUUGGACACUUAACAUUAUCUGCGUUGAC